rnacentral:rRNA from 1 species
GACGUAGGGUGCGAGCGUUGUCCGGAUUUAUUGGGCGUAAAGAGCUCGUAGGCGGCUUGUCGCGUCGAAUGUGAAAUCCUGCGGCUCAACUGCAGGCUUGCAUUCGAUACGGGCAGGCUCGAGUUCGGUAGGGGAGACUGGAAUUCCUGGUGUAGCGGUGAAAUGCGCAGAUAUCAGGAGGAACACCGGUGGCGAAGGCGGGUCUCUGGGCCGAUACUGACGCUGAGGAGCGAAAGCGUGGGGAGCGAACAGG